UGAAAAUAUGUGCUGAUGUGUCAA
rnacentral:siRNA from 1 species